GACGAACGCUGGCGGCGUGCUUAACACAUGCAAGUCGAGCGGUAAGGCCUUUCGGGGUACACGAGCGGCGAACGGGUGAGUAACACGUGGGUGAUCUGCCCUGCACUUCGGGAUAAGCCUGGGAAACUGGGUCUAAUACCGGAUAUGACCUCCUAUCGCAUGGUGGGUGGUGGAAAGAUUUAUCGGUGCAGGAUGGGCCCGCGGCCUAUCAGCUUGUUGGUGGGGUAAUGACCUACCAAGGCGACGACGGGUAGCCGACCUGAGAGGGUGACCGGCCACACUGGGACUGAGACACGGCCCAGACUCCUACGGGAGGCAGCAGUGGGGAAUAUUGCACAAUGGGCGAAAGCCUGAUGCAGCGACGCCGCGUGAGGGAUGACGGCCUUCGGGUUGUAAACCUCUUUCAGCAGGGACGAAGCGCAAGUGACGGUACCUGCAGAAGAAGCACCGGCUAACUACGUG
rnacentral:rRNA from 1 species